rnacentral:rRNA from 1 species
AACGAACGCUGGCGGCAUGCCUAACACAUGCAAGUCGAACGAGACCUUCGGGGCUAGUGGCGCACGGGUGCGUAACGCGUGGGAACCUGCCCUUAGGUUCGGAAUAACUCCCCGAAAGGGGUGCUAAUACCGGAUAAUGUCUUCGGACCAAAGGUUUAUCGCUUUUGGAUGGGCCCGCGUUGGAUUAGCUAGUUGGUAGGGUAAAAGCCUACCAAGGCGACGAUCCAUAGCUGGUCUGAGAGGAUGAUCAGCCACACUGGGACUGAGACACGGCCCAGACUCCUACGGGAGGCAGCAGUGGGGAAUAUUGGACAGUGGGCGAAAGCCUGAUCCAGCAAUGCCGCGUGAGUGAUGAAGGCCUUAGGGUUGUAAAGCUCUUUUACCCGGGAUGAUAAUGACAGUACCGGGAGAAUAAGCUCCGGCUAACUCCGUG